GAUGAACGCUGGCGGCGUGCUUAACACAUGCAAGUCGAACGUGAGGGUGCAGCGAUGUGCCUGAAAAGUGGCGAACGGGUGAGUAACACGUAGAUGACCUGCCCUGGAGUGGGGGAUAACCAUUGGAAACGGUGGCUAAUACCGCAUACAUCCGGAGAACUGGGAAGUUUCUGGGGAAAGCUCUGGUGCUUCAGAGGGGUCUGCGUCCGAUUAGCUAGUUGUGGGUAAAGGCUCACCAAGGCGACGAUCGGUAGCUGGUCUGAGAGGACGAUCAGCCACACGGGAACUGAGACACGGUCCCGACUCCUACGGGGGCAGCAGUGAGGAAUAUUGGGCAAUGGGCGAAGCCUGACCCAGCAACGCCGCGUGGAGGAAGACGGCCUUC
rnacentral:rRNA from 1 species